CACGGGGGGAGCAAGCGUUGUUCGGAAUCACUGGGCGUAAAGCGCACGUAGGCGGAUUGUUAAGUCAGGGGUGAAAUCCUGGAGCUCAACUCCAGAACUGCCUUUGAUACUGAGGAUCUUGAGUUCGGGAGAGGUGAGUGGAACUGCGAGUGUAGAGGUGAAAUUCGUAGAUAUUCGCAAGAACACCAGUGGCGAAGGCGGCUCACUGGCCCGAUACUGACGCUGAGGCACGAAAGCGUGGGGAGCAAACAGG
rnacentral:rRNA from 1 species